UACGUAGGUGGCAAGCGUUGUCCGGAAUUACUGGGUGUAAAGCGCGUGUAGGCGGGAGGCCAAGUCUGCUGUGAAAUCGCUCGGCUCAACCGGGGAACGACGCAUGAAACUGGCAAGCUAGAGUACCAAAGAGGGGGGUGGAAUUCCCGGUGUAGCGGUGAAAUGCGUAGAUAUGCGGAGGAACACCGAUGGCGAAGGCAAUCCCCUGGGCCUGCACUGACGCUGAGGCGCGAAAGCGUGGGGAGCAAACAGG
rnacentral:rRNA from 1 species